GAGGUGGGUCCUGUUGCCACAGCCCCGAGACUCCUGAGAAGGUGGCUGUAAAGGUUUCGCUCUUCUCCACUUCAGUAAACCUGGGUGGGCUGGGGAGAAUGGGAAGGUUCCAGAAGCCACCUUGCACCUUGCACCUGUCUGCCCCUGGUGGCCAGCUUCCUGUCUCCCCAUCAUUUGGGCUCCCGCACCCUCAAUCUGGCUCUGAUUACCGGUUGCUGCCACCCACCCGCAGACUAACAAACAUGGACCAGCUGUGCCGCAGGAAAUCGCCUCCAACUCAGCCCGAUGCGGCAGGGAUGUCUUUAGUUAACAGAGUUAUGGAGGCUCGAUACUUUCUUUGACAAACACGUCCAAGUCCAGAGAGAGGGGAGAGGGGAGAGGGGCUCACCAGCGGCCGGGGAGGAAGCAAUUAACAGCUCCGCCCGAGGUUCCCGGCACCGUUGCGUCAUCCCUCCACGUUUUAUUGAACACUGGCUUUUUCUUUUGCAUUCUGUUCUUUUUUUUUUUUUUUCAACCAAAGGAAAUGAGCUUUUCUAAUCCAUCACUUUGAGCAACAUCAGAGGUAGAGUGGAAAAUAAAAAGGCUUCAUUGAGCACUGUUGGGGCUUUUUCCUCCCUCCGUGGCUCUGCCGGCUCUUUUGUGAAUGAACUUUUUCUUUCUUGUUGUUGUGGCCCUCUCUGUCUUACCAGGGAGGGCUCCAUGGCUUUUCAGCAUUUUGUACCCCAAAUACCAAUAGUUCCAAGACAAGGACACAUACUCAAUGCCUCUAGGAUCCAAAUGAGUAUAUAAGCCCGUGACAUAGUUUAGGUAUAAGACAUUAGGGAGUGGUGGGGACUGUGGCAAACUACAGAACUCAUGCCCCACCUGAAGGGGCUGCCAUUACGCAGAGCCACAUGAUGGCUAUUUGGGGCCCAUAUUUCAUGAGGACCUGAAAGUCUGGAUUUUUUUGGUAAAAACUUAAAAACACUACACAGGCCAAACAAAAACAGACAGAGGACCAGAGGCCUCCCGUUUACAAGAUCUGCUCCCUGGCUGAGCUUACGCUGGAGCCUGCUCAGCCUCUGGGUACCAGUCAGUGGGUGAAGGAGUUGGAGAAGCCCCAGAGGAAACGAGAUACAUCCUCUGGGAAAAUUUAUUUUAUUAGAAGGUUUUUUGGGAGGAAAGUUUGUGGAAUUUCCGAUAGACAACUGAUAGACAACUAAAAACAUCACUUUUAUAUCAAAACAAACUGAGAUGGAUUAUAGAGCCGAGUGUAAAAAUCAAAUCAAAAAGCUCCAGAACUUCAAAGAAAUUUUAUUGCUCCUUUUCAUCUGGUAUUGAGCAUUUUGAUGGGAAAGUUGAGAAACCCAAGAGACUUGAUUUUCCCAUCCGUGAAUCAGGUGUAAUAACAGGACCUGCUUGUGGGGUCGUUUCGAGGGAUCAAAGAGAUAAUGUGAAUGAAGUUCCUGGCCUCCCCGAGCAGCCAGCCUUCCUGCUGGUGCUCCCUCCCAAAUCCUUGUCUUGGAUUUGAUCUUCUGUCUCCCUGAGAAAUCCGUGAAUUUUAACCGGCCCCAGAACAGACAGGGGCAUGGCCUGUACUCACAACCUUCGUAGUGGCUCUCCCGGGUUCCUGAACAUCCUCUUCUCCUGCUAGCUCUUGGAAUUUUCGCUUCCUCUGGGAUGUCGAGCCACGUGUUGGACACAGCUCCUCUCAGUUCCACUGCUGGGUGUAGGCAGACACACAGUAGGAGCACAUUGAAAUUUGGUGGAGACAAAAGCUUGCAAAUUAGUUUCCCAAACAGGCCAUCUGCUUUAGUGAAAAUCAUUUCUGGCAGAAUUUUGAUGAGAUUCGAGCAUGUUGAGUGAUUUAUGGAGCUGUUAAACAUACACUAAAUCAAUCUUGCUCUUUUUUUUUUUUAAGGGUGGGAGUGGAGAAGUGACAUCCUUAAGGGAAAAAUAAAGUCUCUGAGAUAGAAUUUGCAACCUGGGGCCUGACAUUGCAGGGAAAAUGGCCACUGACUGUAAUACGAACCCAGCCAGUCAAUUUGAGUAUGAUAGUUUUAAUGUUCCCCAAAUCUUGCAAAAUGUGUAUCCAAUUAACCACUACUGAAGGGCCUUAUUUAUAAAAUAAUACUUUUGUGGUCAGGUUGCA